rnacentral:rRNA from 1 species
AUACAGGGGGUGCAAGCGUUGCUCGGAAUCACUGGGCGUAAAGCGUACGCAGGCGGGUAAUUAAGUUGGGCGUGAAAGCCCGGGGCUCAACCCCGGAAAUGCGCUCAAAACUGGUUGCCUUGAGUACGGGAGAGGUGAGUGGAAUUCCUGGUGUAGAGGUGAAAUUCGUAGAUAUCAGGAGGAACAUCGGUGGCGAAAGCGGCUCACUGGCCCGAUACUGACGCUCAUGUACGAAAGCGUGGGGAGCAAACAGGAUUAGAUACCCUGGUAGUCCACGCCGUAAACGAUGAGUGCUAGCUGGUGGGAGACCUUAUUUCUCUCAGUGGCGUAGCUAACGCGUUAAGCACUCCGCCUGGGAAGUACGGCCGCAAGGCUAAA